AGGAGAGAAAUCAUGUGAGCUUGAGAAGGAAUCAGAUUCUGCAUAUAUUUCCAAGUUAACAUGAACAAGAUUUUCUGAAAGACUGCUAUGGAGUCUGAGAAAAAAUGUCAAAGGUAGUGCCAAAAUUGUCACUUAAAGAACUGCAGGAAUGGAGUUGGCAUUUACAGAAUUUGGAAGAGAAGCAGGUUUAGUGAUAAAGACCAGAAGCACAGAGCUAAGCAUAUUAAAUGUGAGUUGUCUAUUAGGCAUUCAAGAAGACAUAUAGAGUGGGCAGUGGCUAUAUGAGGCUAGAGUUCUGGGAAGGCUGGGCUGAUGACAGAAAUGUAUUAGUCAUUAACAUUUAUGUGUGUGUGUACACAUAUGCACAUGAACACUGGAUAUGCGAAUGCACAGAUUGAGGACAUGAAGAGGAAAGAACUGACAGAGGAGGUGAAGAAAGGUGAUCAGGAAGAGCCAUCAAAGUGUUAUCCUGGAAUUCAAGUGAAGACAGUGUUUCAAAGUGGAAAUGAACAGUGUCCUGUAACCCUCAGAGUGAGACUAGAGUCAGAAUGCAGGCUUUUCUCAUUUGAAAUCUUUCUACUAUUUCUUUUAACUCAGCAAGGUAAGUCCAGGUCCUUACCUCCACCUAAAAGUUCUGCCAUCAAGGAACAUCUGCUCAUUAUCUUCUGUUCACACAUCAAAUGACUUCAAUGUGAUCCCUGGAUGUUCUCCAAAGAGCUGAAGGGAAAUAAAUAUUCUUUCUUUAUCACCAAAUACUUCAACUGCAGAGUGAUUGUGCUACCAAGGCCUGAAACUUCGGAAAAACCUGCAUAACACAAAAUAUAAAAUAUGCCACAGAGAGGAUCCAGAGAGCCCAUCUCCGGUCAGUUAUCUGUAUUUGUAUGUCAACUACAGCAUCAAAAAGCAUAGGCAUGGAUACUAAGGACCCCCUCUGUACACCAACGCCAGUCCAAAGGACAGUGUGUCACUGUGAACUGGAAAUUCAUCUCUCUUCUUCAAUUUUUUUCUACCUACUUUAUGCUUUAUCUCUAAGUUGAGGCUGUUUAUGGCCUCAUCCUCAAUUACCUUGUCCCUCAUUACUCCCAGUUAAUGGAGAUUAAGCUUUGUAUCAUGACUUCCUAACUAAAAUUGAAAUCACAAGACAUCACAUAAAUAAAGUUACAAAUGGAUUAGAUAAA
ensembl:lncRNA LINC02790 long intergenic non-protein coding RNA 2790